CAUAAACUCCCGGCGACUCUUCAAAGCUCUCAACAUCUCUAAUUAGACCUAUUUGGCAUAAAUAAAGUAGCACAAAGGAAAAGGGGCGAAUACUCCAUACGUUGCUUCGAAAACAUAAAAACAAGGAAACAAAGGCAUAGCAAAUGAAGUACAAAUACCACAUAGUUCCUAAAGGCAUAUUUUUUAGCAUCAUUAUAUAAGGUAUUAAAAUUGCAACGAUAGGAACUUACCGAUUGACGAUAAUAAGAAAACCAAACAGCACAAAGUCCAAGCACGAAUCAUCACAGAAUAAUGAAGAUCGAUUCUCCGAAUAUAAGUGUGAUUCAAGAAUCAUAAAGUAAUUUCUUCUUGUUUUAAAAGCAAUGCUUAAAACUUUUUCAUAUGAAAAAUAUAAAGUGUAAAGAGUAUAGAGAAUGUUGUGGAGAAUGUUGAGUGUGAAAAUUGUUUAAGAGAAAAGAGAAUGAAAAGCUCUUGUUUCGUAUGGAGAAUAUAGAGAGUAUAGAGCCUGUAAGCUCGUCCUUAAAGGGUGAAAAGUAAUCCUUUAUAUAGGCUAAAGGGGGUGGGGAAUAAAAAUGAAGAAGAAAAUUUUAACAAUCAAUCACAAAUGUUUUCCAAAAAUAUAGGAAUGGAAUAAUAAUAAUUUUAAUAAUCAAUCACAAUAUUAAUGUCCUUAAUCAAAUAAACUGAAUCAAUCCGAAGCCAAUUUAUCAUAAAUAGAUAAGUAAAACAAGAUACUUAUUUAAAAAGAGAAUAAAUAAAUAGUAAUAAUAAUAAUAAAAAUCUGUAUUAACUUUAGUAUUUACCAUAUAUGUUAAAAUUGAUUGAGAAAUCAUAAGGCACUUAGUCAUGUAGAAUCUUCCCACAGUAAUCCAAUCGUCCAAAAUUAAACUUUGUACUAAAUCAAUUCCAUAAUAUUAGUUGGGAGUAAACACAAUCAAACAUUUUACCAUGAACACUGAAUCAAAAUUCUGCCUAUAUCAACUAAAGUAAAACACAAUCCACAUAUAAUAACUUUAAAAACAGGUAGAAAUUAGUAACCAUCACAAAAAUUGAGAAAUUCUCGCGUAUGACAACAUAGAUGAUUAAUCAAACAAAAAUCACAAAAUGCUUAAUCAAACUAAUUUCAAAUCACGAAAUCUGUCAAAUUAAGAAGUAAAAGAGGUUUUUGAGACUUAGCAUGAGAUUAAACCUCGGAUUGGUUUUCAAGAACCCAUCGAUUUUCGGCAAAAUUUGACCGGAGCAAGUGGCGCCGAAGCGACGGAAGGAGUUUCCGAUUGUUGCCAUUUGGUCAAAUAAGAGACAAAAAUGGGGGAAGGGAUGGCGGAUCGGUGGCUGCAUGCAGGACUUUGGUCAGUUGGUGGUGGUGCGAAUGGGCAAAG
rnacentral:lncRNA from 1 species